UGGCGGAGGGUUAGUAAUACAUGGGUAAUCUGCCUUUAACUCUGGAAUAACGGCUGGAAACGGCCGCUAAUGCCGGAUGUGGUGAUAAGUAGGCAUCUACAGAUCAUUAAAGUUUGGGAUCGAGAGAUCGACCUUUCGGUUAAAGAGGGGCCCAUGGGUUAUCAGCUUGUUGGUGGGGUAACGGCCCACCAAGGCUAAGACGUCUAGGCGAGUUGAGAGAUUGACCGCCAACACUGGGACUGAGACACUGCCCAGACUCCUACGGGAGGCUGCAGUCGAGAAUAUUUCGCAAUGGGCGCAAGCCUGACGAAGCGACGCCGUGUGAGUAAAGAAGGCCUUCGGGUCGUAAAGCUCUUUCGCCUGGGAACAAGAGAAGGCGGUUAAUAUCCGCUUGAUUUGAGCGUACCAGGUAAAGAAGCACCGGCUAACUCCGUGCCAGCAGCUGCGGUAAUACGGAGGGUGCAAGCAUUAAUCGGAUUUAUUGGGCGUAAAGGGGGCGCAGGCGGAUGUGUAAGCCAGACGUGAAAUCCCGGGGCUCAACCCCGGAACUGCAUUUGGAACUACACAUCUAGAGGAUAGGCGGAGAAACCGGAAUUCCACAUGUAGCGGUGAAAUGCGUAGAUAUGUGGAAGAACACCGGUGGCGAAGGCGGUUUUCUAGCUUAUUCCUGACGCUGAGGCCCGAAAGCUAGGGGAGCGAACAGGAUUAGAUACCCUGGUAGUCCUAGCCGUAAACGAUGCAUACUUGGUGUAGUCGGACUCAACCCCGACUGUGCCGUAGCCAACGCGUUAAGUAUGCCGCCUGGGGAGUACGCUCGCAAGGGUGAAACUCAAAAGAAUUGACGGGGACCCGCACAAGCAGUGGAGCAUGUGGUUUAAUUCGAUGCAACGCGAAGAACCUUACCCAGGCUUGAC
rnacentral:rRNA from 1 species